GUCGAGAAUCUUUCACAAUGGGGGCAACCCUGAUGGAGCGACGCCGCGUGGAGGAUAAGGUCUUCGGAUUGUAAACUCCUGUCAUGCGUGAACAAGGUUGCAUGGAUAAUACCUGUGCAAAUUGAUGGUAGCGCAAGAGGAAGAGACGGCUAACUCUGUGCCAGCAGCCGCGGUAAUACAGAGGUCUCAAGCGUUGUUCGGAAUCACUGGGCGUAAAGGGUGCGUAGGUGGCGUGGCAAGUCAGAUGUGAAAGCCCGGGGCUCAACCUCGGAACUGCAUCCGAUACUGCCAUGCUAGAGUACUGGAGGGGUGACUAGAAUUCUCGGUGUAGCAGUGAAAUGCGUAGAUAUCGAGAGGAAUACCAAAGGCGUAGGCAGGUCACUGGACAGUUACUGACACUGAGGCACGAAGGCCAGGGGAGCGAACGGGAUUAGAAACCCGGGUAGUCC
rnacentral:rRNA from 1 species